UCUCUCUCUCUCUCUCACACACACACACACACACACACAGACACACACACACAGAGUUUUUCAGGAGAUGCUAAGUACCAGGAAGUAAACCAAGCAGGAUGAUAUACAUUGACAGAGGAGUGGGGGACAGGCUGUACUAUAUCUGAUAAUUUGAUGGAAUGAUGAUUUGAUGAUUUUGUACUAUAUUUGAUUAUUUGAUGAGGGACACACAAGAGGAAUAUGGAGAACAAAAGGAAAGGUCCUGGGAGCUGAGAUCUGAGGGGCAGACAGGUGCAAAAGUAAUAUUAUCUUGUAGGUUUUGAUAAGAUAAAGUUUGGUAAGGUAAAAUCAAUUUGUAUUUUACUUUUAUUUAGAUGAGAAGCCACUUUAAGACAGAAACUAACAACUUAAAAUGAUUGGUCUGGUUUCUCUAUGGAGAAGAGACAAGGGAGCCAGCCAGGUAGAAGGAGGAAGGCAGGUUGGGAGGACAGCACAAUAUUUUAAGUGAAAACUAAUAGCAGCUUAGACUUCAGUGGAUGCAAGCAGUGAAGGUGACCAAAAGUGGCUGGAUUAUGGAUAUAUUCUGAAGUUAUAUUCAAUAGGAUUUAUCACUUGUUUGCAUGUGGAAAGAAAGAGAAUAAAAUGAGUCACAGAUGACUUUAAGGGUUUUGGCUUGAACAUCAAGAUAGUGCAAAUUGCCAUUUUACUCAAAUGGAGAGAAUUGGGAAAAGAGACAGCUGAGGGAGUGGGAAUCAAGAGUUCAGUUUAUACCAAUUCAGUGAAACAGCAUUUGCACACGUCACCCUUCCUUAUACCUGAUCUUUCUGAGAACCUUCAGGAGUUCUCCGUCUUAGGACGCUAAGUGGCCUCAUAAGCUGAAGUUCAUGCCAUGAUAACCAACAUUAGAGAGCAAGUAUUAUGCCCAAGAUAAAAAACAUUAAGAACAUAGUGAAAAAGUCACAGAGCAGAAAUAUCACUGCCUCUACCAAUGAAAAGCCAAAAGUUCAAUCUGUCGAAAAAAUUAGUAGGAAAUAGCAAGGAGUAAUUUGGCUUUUGGUCAUGCGAUAUUCAAAAACAGGUCUUGAGGGGGGCGAAUUUAGAAAUGGAAAAAGAAGA